UACGUAGGGUCCGAGCGUUGUCCGGAAUUCCUGGGCGUAAAGAGCUCGUAGGUGGUUUGUCGCGUUGUUCGUGAAAACUCACAGCUCAACUGUGGGCGUGCGGGCGAUACGGGCAGACUAGAGUACUGCAGGGGAGACUGGAAUUCCUGGUGUAGCGGUGGAAUGCGCAGAUAUCAGGAGGAACACCGGUGGCGAAGGCGGGUCUCUGGGCAGUAACUGACGCUGAGGAGCGAAAGCGUGGGGAGCGAACAGG
rnacentral:rRNA from 1 species